GACGAACGCUGGCGGCGUGCCUAAUACAUGCAAGUAGGACGCAGUUGCGAACGGGUGAGUAACGCGUAGGUAACUACCUAUUAGAGGGGGAUAACUAUUGGAAACGAUAGCUAAUACCGCAUACUAGUAGAUGGACCUGAGUUGUAUUAGCUAGUAGGUAGGGGAAAGGCCUACCUAGGCAACGAUCCAUAGCAGACCUUCAAGGGUGAUUCGCACCACUGAGACUGAGACACGGCCCAGAUCCCUACGGGAUGCAGCAGUAGGGAAUCUUCGGCAAUGGGGCGAACCCUGACCGAGCAACGCCGCGUUAGUGAAGAAGGUUUUCGGAUCGUAAAGCUCUGUUGUUAAGGAAGCGUUACUUAACCAGAAAGGGACGGCUAACUACGUGCCAGCAGCCGCGGUAAUAC
rnacentral:rRNA from 1 species